ensembl:lncRNA
CUUUAUUAAAUUGAAGAAAACCGAACAAAGCAAAUGCUGAAAAUUACAAUCAUUUGAGGUAUGAGAAAUUCAACCAAUUCCAAUAACAAACUGUACAAAUGUUUCAAUAACAAACCUGAAAGUUUUUUAUAAUGUCUCAGUAAUGUUCAGCGGUGUGCAUCCAUAAGGCAAAUAUACUGCUCCAAAAAUAUCUAGUCACAUACAAUACUAACCGUACAGAAAAUUAAAUGUACUAGCAUGUCUAUAUAUCAUGUACAUUUGUCAGCUUGCAUGUACAGACUGGCAUUUAACUGCCUAUGCAUUUUAAGAAUUUUGCAAAAGACAGAGAUUCAUAGGAAAAUGCUACAUGAGAAGGUAAGAGAGAGGAGCAGCACGGAACGCAACAAACAGCAGAAGCUAAAAUACAUAUCGUACAUCACAUAUCAUGAAAGCUUAAGACAUUUCCAUUAAAACAUGAACAUGCUGGUUUCACAGCAAUGGCAGCAGCAGAAGAGUUGUAUAAUACUUGAUAUUUCUCAAUAAGGCAAUAUCUUUAUAUAUAAAAGAAUGGCACAUUCCUUAGCACAGUGUUAAUAUUGACUACAUCAUGUACAGGCCCACUAUUAAUCAUAUAAACACAUAAUAAACAUGUGCAGGACUUCAAAAGUGAAAUCAUUACUCCUCAUCUAUGUUUUAAACUUACUGAUUUAGCUUAUGUCCUGUUCUGUGUGUGUGGAGGCACAUAGAGUGUAGGCCAUUCAAAUCUGUCUAUUAUAUCUCAAAUGUAUCAUAUAUAUUAUACAUAUUGUAUAUAUAAUAUAUAUAUAUAUUAUUAAAUACUUUAUAUUUCUGCAUGUCAUAAUAUAAAAGUAAAUAUUUUAACUUUUUUCUCCAGCUCAUGUUCAAAAUAAGAAAAAGCUAAAUACUUUCUAAUGUACCAUUUUUUUCUCUACACCAAUAUCUACAAUGUCUAUAUAUCUCUAAUAUGAGUUUCAGCAUCAAGUCUUCCCCUCUGGCUCAUUUUUCAACAGUUUUUGGUCCCAUUUGUCUUAGGUGUAUCUGUAUGUUCGUACAAUAACAAAGGCUUAAUGAAAUAAUUAUGGCACUUCAUUCUGCUGCAGUACAACAAACAUUCAAAUUGUGCUAAAUAAAUUAUUAAAUCAAGAAAUACAUUUGAUUAGCCUGAGUUAUGAAAAACACAUACACUGCCUUCCAAAAUCAAUUUAAAUAUAUUUAAAGAACUUCAAUAGAUUUUUCUCAGUAAAAAAAAAAAAAACUGUGGAUAUGAGAUGAUAAAAUAAAUCACAGAAUCUAGCAGGAACCUAAAGAAAUGUUAAACUACGUGCAGGUUGAAAGUAACAGCACAUUUUAGACCUUUUUACAUACUAAGGGAAUGAACUGACCACAAAGGCUGCACUACAAGCAGGUUCUGCUCAUGGCAUCUGUAAAGAUCUGGCAGAACAUCAGUAGUGAAAGAUCAGCAAAUUACAUGAAGCCAUUUAUGAAGAUCAGUUCAUUCAAAACUGAAUAUUCUGUCAUUAUUUACUCACACUUGUGUUGUUCUUAACUUGUAUGCUGUUAUUUAUUUAUUGUAUUUUUUUCAUGGAACACAAAAAGGAAACUUUUGGUAAAUCUUCUCAUUGCUAUUUCCUAUACUAUAUUGGUUCAUAGUGACUAGGAUGAUCAAGCUUCGAAAAUGACAACAAAAGUAAUCUUAUGCAUCCUGCUAUAAGUGUCCAGAACUCAAGAACCGCAGAGACCAAAUCAGUAAGUCGGUGAGUUGAACUUAAAGACUGGAUAAGUGAACGAAUUGUUCUUGUGAGUCUGUUUCAGCAAACAAAAUAGGAUUUGAUAAGAUUUACAAAUUGGAUUAGACAAGUCAUUCCUGAAUCAUUCAACUCACUAAUUUUAUGACCCAGUCUAAUGGUGCUGAAGAUUAUCACAGAAUAACAGCUUCAGUCUUGGUUUGUUCAUCACACAAAGCUUUCAAAUGACACCAGCUGGAGACUGAGAAUAUAGAGCACCAGUCGUAUUGAUGUCUUUCUAUUUGGGUAAUUUUUGAAGUUUAAAAUCAUGGUUCACUGUCUUUGUAAAUGAGGAGACUAAAAUGUGCAUGACGAAUGUGCUUAAAAAUAAUCAGAAUUGUCAUUUUUGUUUGAACUAUUUCUUUAGCUAUGCUGUUGGCAUAUGCAAUAUUAAGAAUUAAGAGCAAUUCAUUGAGCAAGAAAUGGUUUGUGAGACUGUCUGAAUAGCUUUAGUAUACAGUGGGGCUCGAAAGUUUGGGCACCCCUUGCAGAAUCUGUGAAAAUGUGAAUAAUUUUCAAAAAAUAAGAGAGAUCAUACUAAAUACAUGUUAUUUAUUAUGUAGUACUGUCCUGAGUAAGAUAUUGUACAUAAAAGAUGUUUACAUUUAGUCCACAAGACAAAAAUAUUGCUGAAAUUAUUAAAAUAACCCCAUUCAAAAGUUUGGGAACCCUUGGUUCUUAAUACUGUGUGUGGUUACCUGGAUGAUCCACGAC